rnacentral:rRNA from 1 species
UACAGAGACCCCGAGCGUUAUCCGGAAUUAUUGGGCGUAAAGAGCGAGUAGCUGGUAGUGUUAGUCUGACGUUAAAUUCCGAGGCUCAACUUCGGAACCGCGUUGGAAACGGCACCACUAGAGUAGGUAAGAGGCAAGCGGAACGUGCAGUGUAGGGGUGAAAUCCAUUGAUAUUGCACGGAACACCAAAAGCGAAGGCAGCUUGCUAGUGCUUUACUGACAGUCAAUCGCGAAAGCGUGGGGAUCAAAAAGG